rnacentral:misc_RNA from 1 species
CACUUUAUUUCAAAUCCGCGCAAAAUCGACCGUUUGAAACCCUCUGCCAGUCACAACUUGCAGCGGUCUAAUCUCGCUCUGCACGCUGAAAGCCCUAGUCUUCGAUCUCCUUCUUCUUGGUUCUUGUUGUAAUGAAGUUAUAAAUGGGUACUACAAAACGCUCUCAUGUCGAUAACUUAUUUGACAGCCUGGUAAAAUUGCUCAUGGACCAGCAAGAACAGCUUAAAACUCUCGUUCAAGAGAGAAAAUUCCUUGAAGAUCGCAUCAAGGUACAACAUGAGCGAUGUCUCUCCGAAAUUCGUCUCUUCGAAGAUCAUAUCACUCAGAUGAAGGAGGCUUUGGCAGAGAAAGACAUGACUUGCAUGCUUAAGACCGUCAAAUCAGAUUUGAUGAUUGGAUUCAAGCACAGAGAGGCUUCUCUUUACAAAUUGAAAUUAGAGCAAACAGAAGAUGAAUUGGCUGAUUUCAAAGCAUGUUUUGACUACCUCUCUCACAUCCUUGAAAAAAAUUCCAAGGAAACUGACAAUGGACAGGAAGAAGGCAGACAUGGUGAUUUAAAAUCUGCUGGUUCUAAAAGGUUGGAUAAUGAAGUAAAAAGGUUAAAGUUUGAAUAUGAGAAGCUUGCUUCUGAAAAGAAUUCUGAGAUAUCUGCACUGUUGAAAGAGAAAAGUUUUGUAUGGAAUCAGUAUAAUGUUUUAGAGAGCAAUCUCACAGAUAAAUUGAAGAAUAGCCAAGUUGAGAUUGACCAGGCAAAUGAGAAGAUUGCAAAAGUUCUUGCUAGUGUGGAGCUGCUUCACUCUUCUAACAGCGAGAAGGAUGAAAUGAUUGGAAGCCUGAAAGUUAAAUUGGCUGAGGUGGAGGCUGACAGAAAUAAAUGGAGGGAAAAAAGUUCCCAACUGUCCCAGGAGUUGGACUCAUUGAGAAAGUCCAAAAGUGCUCAAGUUGUAUCUGCACCGAAAAAUGGCAGCACAAGAGCUAAAGCUUUGAGUCAGGGAGUCAAAAGCAGUGGCAGGAAAGGAAGUAAUAAUAUUGUGGUGAAGAAAGAAUUGUCUCCUGGAAAAGCUGGUCAUUCCUUGAAGGAUAUUGCAAAGGUAAUUGAUAAAAAAAAUCAUUAAGUUUUUUUCUUAAAAAAAAAUCAUGAAGUUUUAAGCUUCAUUAAAUGUGUGCAUGACUGAAAACAGUGAGCACCGAGUAGCAGUGGCGUAAGGUCCUUGUAGUGUAGAAGACCACCAAAGCAUAAAAAAGAGGAAAAUUUGCUGACUGAAGCAUCUAUGUGUUCGCUAUAUGUAUCAUCAUUGUGAUGUGCCCACAUCAUAUGUCCAUGAAUUUCAAGAACAUUAAUAUUAUCCCUUGAUCUGUGUGCUUAUUGUACUUAGCCUCUUUCUUGAUGAUUAGGGUAGCAGAAGUUUGAAGAGAAAAGCGGAUGAAGCUGUUAUCAUUCUAGAGACUCCAAGGUUGUUCUCCUCUGCCUUCAAAAUUCCUAAAUUGAAGACCUUAUCUACUCCUGUCUCAUGACCCUACCGUACCCUUUUUUAACCACAAUUAAAACAGAGGGGGUAGCUUCUUCUAAGUGUAAUUGUUUAUUAAGCUUCUCUUGUAGCUCUGUAUUUUGCACUCUCCUGCAUUUGUUGUAAAGGAUGUAAUUGCCUUACCUCGUAGCCAUUAUUCUUUCAUCUAAUCUUAUUGUGCAAAAGUUAUCUGUGGCUUUUGUGGAUUGUGGUUCUCAAUGCGAAGAAUCUUUUGCAAAGAUUAUAUGUUUGUGUAUUAAUUAUUGCUAUUGCUAAUUUUGUAACUUUUGAAGUGUUUU